rnacentral:rRNA from 1 species
GAUGAACGCUGGCGGCGUGCCUAAUACAUGCAAGUCGAGCGAACAGACGAGGAGCUUGCUCCUCUGACGUUAGCGGCGGACGGGUGAGUAACACGUGGAUAACCUACCUAUAAGACUGGGAUAACUUCGGGAAACCGGAGCUAAUACCGGAUAAUAUAUUGAACCGCAUGGUUCAAUAGUGAAAGACGGUUUUGCUGUCACUUAUAGAUGGAUCCGCGCCGCAUUAGCUAGUUGGUAAGGUAACGGCGUACCAAGGCGACGAUGCGUAGCCGACCUGAGAGGGUGAUCGGCCACACUGGAACUGAGACACGGUCCAGACUCCUACGGGAGGGAGCAGUAGGGAAUCUUCCGCAAUGGGCGAAAGCCUGACGGAGCAACGCCGCGUGAGUGAUGAAGGUCUUCGGAUCGUAAAACUCUGUUAUUAGGGAAGAACAAAUGUGUAAGUAACUAUGCACGUCUUGACGGUACCUAAUCAGAAAGCCACGGCUAACUACGUG